rnacentral:piRNA from 1 species
UCCAUGGCGGUUCAGGCCAGCUCAGGGAGGU